GUCCUGAUAGUUUUGUUCCGAUGGUCCAGACCCUGCCAGGGCACAGAUUUAGGUCCCUGAAGGAAAAUUUACAAUUAUAGAAACAUUUUGCAGUGCCCUGCCCAGAGCAUGUGUUUACAUGCAAGCUAUGAAUGGAAAGAUGAAGAAGAAUAUGGCUCCAGGAAAAUGAGGCUCACAGCUCUCUUCCACUGUGAAACUACUAUAGAAAUAAUCCUGAAGCCAGCCAAGAUACUUAAAAUUAAGAUAGA